rnacentral:tRNA from 1 species
GCGCGAAUAGCUCAGGUGGAUAGAGCGCAACGGUCCGAACGUUGAGGUCAGCGGUUCAACUCCGCUUUCGCGCCCCA